UCCGAGGGAUCUGAUGGAUCCGAGGGAUCUGAUGGAUCCGAGGGAUCUGAUGGAUCCGAAGGGAUCUGAUGGAUCCGAUGGAUCCAAUGGAUCUGAUCCAUCAGAGGGAUCUGAUGGAUCCGAGGGAUCUGAUGGAUCCGAGGGAUCUGAUGGAUCCUAGGGAUCUGAUGGAUCCGAUGGAUCCAAUGCAGAUCCCUAGGAUCCAUCAGAUCCGUCGGA